AAUGGGGGAAACCCUGAUGCAGCGACGCCGCGUGAGCGAUGAAGCCCUUCGGGGUGUAAAGCUCUUUCGGCAGGGAAGACUUUGACGGUACCUGCAGAAGCAGCUGCGGCUAACUACGUGCCAGCAGCCGCGGUAAUACGUAGGCAGCAAGCGUUGUUCGGAGUUACUGGGCGUAAAGGGUGCGUAGGCGGUUCCCUAAGUUUGGUGUGAAAUCUCCCGGCUCAACUGGGAGGGUGCGCCGAAAACUGGGGAGCUAGAGUGUGGGAGAGGUGAGUGGAAUUCCUGGUGUAGCGGUGAAAUGCGUAGAUAUCAGGAGGAACACCGGUGGUGUAGACGGCUCACUGGACCAUUACUGACGCUGAGGCACGAAAGCGUGGGUAGCAAA
rnacentral:rRNA from 1 species